CCCCUAGAUGUUCUGGGCCGCACGCGCGCUACACUGACGAAUGCAACGAGCUUAUAACCUUGGCCGAAAGGUCUGGGUAAUCUCCAAAUUUCGUCGUGAUGGGGAUAGAUUAUUGCAAUUAUUAAUCUUCAACGAGGAAUGCCUAGUAAGCGCAAGUCAUCAGCUUGCGUUGAUUACGUCCCUGCCCUUUGUACACACCGCCCGUCGCUCCUACCGAUUGAAUGGUCCGGUGAAGCGCUCGGACCGCGGCCUCUUGACGGUUUUCCGUCGAUUGGCUGUGGGAAGUUCGUUAAACCUUNUNAUUUAGNGGAAGGAGAANUCGUANCA
rnacentral:rRNA from 1 species